rnacentral:rRNA from 1 species
UACGGGGGGUGCAAGCGUUGUUCGGAAUUAUUGGGCGUAAAGCGCGUGUAGGCGGUCUGAUUAGUCUGAUGUGAAAGCCCCGGGCUCAACCUGGGAAGUGCAUUGGAUACUGUCAGACUUGAAUACGGGAGAGGGUAGUGGAAUUCCUAGUGUAGGAGUGAAAUCCGUAGAUAUUAGGAGGAACACCGGUGGCGAAGGCGGCUACCUGGACCGAUAUUGACGCUGAGACGCGAAAGCGUGGGUAG